rnacentral:rRNA from 2 species
UACGUAAGGACCGAGCGUUGUCCGGAAUCAUUGGGCGUAAAGGGUACGUAGGCGGCUAGAAAAGUUAGAAGUCAAAGGCUAUAGCUCAACUAUAGUAAGCUUCUAAAACUAUUUAGCUUGAGAAAUGGAAGGGAAAGUGGAAUUCCUAGUGUAGCGGUGGAAUGCGCAGAUAUUAGGAAGAAUACCGGUGGCGAAGGCGACUUUCUGGCCAUUAUCUGACGCUGAGGUACGAAAGCGUGGGUAGCAAACA